UAUUGAGUUUAAAAUAGAUCCAUUUUUAAAAAUUUGCCACUUUGAUAAAUUAUAUUUUUAGCAUUGUUUUCUUCCACUUAGACAAUUAUUAGACAGUUGGUUUUCAGCAUUAAAGUUUUUUAAUGAGUAUGGACUAAUAUUUAUGAAAUAAAUCCCUGUAUGGGACUACUCUUUCAAACUUGGCUCAUUGAGGCAAGGUUUUUUGUCUGUCUUAAACUAUAAAUUCUUAAUUAAAAACUGAAAAUAUUUUAAGAAAGACUGUAAACUCUUUAUGCACAUUCACACACACAGACACACAUACCCAUCUAUAUAGUUUCCUUAGAGAUUCAGAACUGGUCCACCAUCAGAUAGUCUCACUGGAUUCAGGGUAUGACUAACAAAAAUAAAUGUUUUGUAUGAAAAACCAGAAAUGUGUGCAAGUGAACCUCUUAAUUAUUUCCUGCCACAUUUGAGUUUACUUUUACAUAUGUUGUUAAAUAUAGGAAAUGACUAAUAUGUGAGGAGUAAUUUAGAAAGGUUUUAGUUCCCAGAGUUUUCCCUUUGGCAGACAUUACACAGAAUAAUCACCUGAAAUUGCUAUUUCACUUACAGAAAAUAGAUUUAACAGUCACUCCUUUUCUUUAGUUUCUGCCAGGAUUAUUGGAAAUCUCCCUGUUAUCUCUGAAUAGAAAUAUAUUCAAAGAAAUUAAUCCUAUAAAGCUUUCCCAUUAAAUGAACAUCUCAUCAGUAAAAUUAUUCAGGACCAUAUUUCCAGAUCUGGCUUAUCUCCUUUGUGCAUAAAUGGUUGCUCAGUUACAAAGUCCCCAGUGAUGGCAGCUACACAGCUUCUAAAGUUUACUGUAACUCUUCCAAGCCGAUCUGGAAACAUCAUGUAGUUCAAACAUUUGGAACAAUGAUUGGAGAUAUGAAGAUGCUCUACCCUUAGGGCAACGCUUGGCCUGCCAGUGUUCUAGAUGUCUAUGAAUGAAACAUCCAGAUGCCUUCAGGGAGAGUUCGCUGCCUCCUUAUUAGUGACAUGAUAUCGCUGAUCAUCUCAAACCUGUAGCUCACUUCUCAAAUUUCCCUAGAAAUUUCCCCAUGCGUUUUCAGAAAGACAGGCAAAUAUUCCGAAGAAAAACAUAUAAAUAUCAGAACCAGUGUGCCAAAAGCACAAUUGAAAAGCACCUGAAUCUUCACAUCAGUAUACAUUUGACAUUUAUGUAUCAGCCUGUAGCUAAUGUACUUAGGGACAAAGGAGAUUUCAUGCUUAUCUUUGGCCCAGCAGGGCCCAGAGAAAGGUUUAAUUUUGAUUCCUUAUACUGCUAAACUCCUGAAGAGAAAUGCACUCUCUUUGAAAAAUAGAAACAUUGUUAAAAAGCAAGUGACUGACUAGUCAUCAGAAAAGCAGUUUCACUGCCCUUCCUAUCUCAGACUGGAACUACUUCACAGUAAAGUGGGAAGUUCCUACUAAAAUACAGUCAGUUCUGCUGUCAAUAAACCUGGGUCAAAGGAUUUUCAAAGAUUGUCAUUUCAUUCCUGCAAAAAUAUUAUCCACCUCUUCCAUUCAGCGGGCAUUUGAAGGUUAUUAUUGCAUUGCUUUGGAUUAAGCUAUAUUAAAAAUGGAAGCAAUGGCCCAAUGGAUUAGGUUUAGAAUAAGCCAAUAUUUGACAAGUCAAAGGGUCUUUUCAAAUUAAUUUUUUUGUAGCUUUGUAUCAGAAAGAAUUGCCAACUCACUUUCUUAACUCCACUCCCUCCUAAAGUCACUGCCUCAUUUUGCACCCCACCACUUCAGUGUGAAGAGCAAAAGCAUCUUGGCAAAAUCAUAAAUCAGGCCUGUUGAAAAUACACAAAAUGUGUAUGGUACAUGUGAGUGUGUACAUGAGUGUGUGUUCUUAAUUAAUAUACUCUUAUAGUUUUCAGUUGUAGACCAUGAUCUUUGUUCAAAUAGUGCUUUUUCAAAAAUAUUCACAUAUUGAAACAAUCAACUUCAAGGAGAAAUUUAUUUCCCAACAUGCUAUACUGUCAGUUUAUUUUAUUUUAAUUGUGAGAGAUGAUAAAAUGGUUAGUAGUGUAAAUUGCUUAUGUAAUGGUUUAAAACAAAUUCCUGUUUUAUUCAAUUCUAUUUGAAGUAUUUGCUUUGUAAGUAAACUGGGUGAUAGGCUAGCAAUAUAAUAUAUCAUUCAAUAAUUUUAUUUUGUAUUCUCUGUACAAAACAUUUUUAUUAUAUUGUGGCUAAGCAAAUUGCACUAUUAUAUAUGCAAAGCAGAUUUUUUAGGUUAAUCAAUAAAUUAUUUGGACAAUAGUUCAGUGCAAUAAUUUUUUUUCAAUAAAAAGCUUAAUGGUAUUUAGAGUGUUGGUCAUGUAUUUCUAACACAAAGCAUACCAAAAUAUAAGAAA